UUCCUCAUGCAGCUGCCUUGUGAGUAAACUCUCUCUCUGCUGCAAGCUUGCCGUCUCAGUGUUUGGCUUUCUGGGCGGCGGGCAAAAAUGAACCUGGCUCAGUAACACUAUUAACAGUGUCCCUUAAAUCUCUCUGGAAAGAAGGAAGGAUGAUUACAUUCACCAGUUUCCAUCUCUGCUUGCUUGUGCUCCUUGAGGGCAUCUGUGAGGCCCGGGAUUCCUCACCGCCUAUCAGAGAGAAGAACCCACAGCGGGUAGAGGAAAUGUCUUCCUCCCCUACAAUACCAUGCAUCGUUGACUGAAGUGUCAUUAGGCGGCACAUGACUGUAGAAGGUGAAUUUAAUUCGUUCUCCGGCCAGACGAACCCACUUUGGAUAGAGGAAAUGUCUUCCUCCCCUACACUUCCAAGAAGCAUUUCUUGUCCCCUUUCCCAACCUACUUCUGAUGCUGGCUCGGUGAGUCGAGGAGUGGAAGGAAAGAUUUCUUGGACUCUCAAGUUCUGGCUGUAGUGA
rnacentral:lncRNA from 1 species